CCGCAUAACAUUACAAGUUUCGCAUGAAACAGUAAUUAAAGGAGUAAUCCGCUACAAGAUGGGCCCGCGGCGCAUUAGCUAGUUGGUGAGGUAACGGCUCACCAAGGCGACGAUGCGUAGCCGACCUGAGAGGGUGAUCGGCCACAUUGGGACUGAGACACGGCCCAGACUCCUACGGGAGGCAGCAGUGGGGAAUAUUGCACAAGUCGGGGGAAACCCUGAUGCAGCAACGCCGCGUGAGUGAUGUAAGGUUUUCGGAUCGUAAAGCUCUGUCUUCGGGGACGAUAAUGACGGUACCCGAGGAGGAAGCCACGGCUAACUACGUG
rnacentral:rRNA from 1 species